rnacentral:miRNA from 1 species
UGCGAGUGUCUUCGCCUCUG